rnacentral:rRNA from 1 species
AACGAACGCUGGCGGCAUGCCUAACACAUGCAAGUCGAACGAGACCUUCGGGUCUAGUGGCGCACGGGUGCGUAACGCGUGGGAACCUGCCCUUAGGUUCGGAAUAACUCCCCGAAAGGGGUGCUAAUACCGGAUAAUGUCUUCGGACCAAAGAUUUAUCGCCUUUGGAUGGGCCCGCGUUGGAUUAGCUAGUUGGUAGGGUAAAAGCCUACCAAGGCGACGAUCCAUAGCUGGUCUGAGAGGAUGAUCAGCCACACUGGGACUGAGACACGGCCCAGACUCCUACGCGAGGCAGCAGUGGGGAAUAUUGGACCACGGGCGAAAGCCUGAUCCAGCAAUGCCGCGUGAGUGAUGAAGGCCUUAGGGUUGUAAAGCGCUUUUACCCGGGAUGAUAAUGACAGUACCGGGAGAAUAAGCUCCGGCUAACUCCGUG